AGGAUCAUUACCGAGUGAGGGCCCUCUGGGUCCAACCUCCCACCCGUGUCUAUCGUACCUUGUUGCUUCGGCGGGCCCGCCGUUUCGACGGCCGCCGGGGAGGCCCUGCGCCCCCGGGCCCGCGCCCGCCGAAGACCCCAACAUGAACGCUGUUCUGAAAGUAUGCAGUCUGAGUUGAUUAUCGUAAUCAGUUAAAACUUUCAACAACGGAUCUCUUGGUUCCGGCAUCGAUGAAGAACGCAGCGAAAUGCGAUAAGUAAUGUGAAUUGCAGAAUUCAGUGAAUCAUCGAGUCUUUGAACGCACAUUGCGCCCCCUGGUAUUCCGGGGGGCAUGCCUGUCCGAGCGUCAUUGCUGCCCUCAAGCACGGCUUGUGUGUUGGGCCCCCGUCCCCCUCUCCCGGGGGACGGGCCCGAAAGGCAGCGGCGGCACCGCGUCCGGUCCUCGAGCGUAUGGGGCUUUGUCACCUGCUCUGUAGGCCCGGCCGGCGCCAGCCGACACCCAACUUUAUUUUUCUAAGGUUGACCUCGGAUCAGGUAGGGAUACCCGCUGAACUUAAG
rnacentral:rRNA from 1 species